UUCUUAUCAAGAGAGGUUGAGGGAAUGGCCCUGCGACGCCUCAGCAACCAUCAAUGGUUUCAACCAUUGAAAAGGUGCUAAGUCCUGCAAAUUAGUUUGCUAAUUUGCGAGAUAAGAA
rnacentral:ncRNA from 2 species